rnacentral:rRNA from 1 species
UCAGUUUACCGCGCCAGGGACAAAAACCGAGCCAAUGUGGACCGUGGCCGCCUAGUGUGUUUCCGCAACGCCCUAAACAAUUGUGAGCUCAAGGAGAUUCACAUGCAAAACAGGAGAUUUACUUGGAGCAACGAACAAAGUAACCCGAUGAUGAGCAAGCUAGAUAGCUUCUUUUGCAAUGAAGAUUGGGAUUUAGAGUUUCCCACCCACAUUCUGCAUGCCCUCUCCUCAUCACUUUCGGAUCACUGCCCCCUCCUGUUUGCUAAUGAUGUUGGCCUAAAGAAGCCUAAAUCCUUCCAGUUUGAAAACUUCUUGAGAGAGAUGCUGGGAUUCCAACAUGUUGUCAACGAGGCAUGGAAUGUGAAUUCCGGUCAUGUCGAGCCUUAUCAACGGCUAUUCCACAAGCUAAAGAGAACAGGACAAAAGUUGCGCUCCUGGAGCAAGACCCUUUUCUCUAACUCCAGGGUCCAGUUGCACAUGGCUCUCAAGGUUAUUCUUCGCCUUGACCUCGCUCAAGAACAAAGAGACCUAAGCCCGGAGGAAAGGGAUCUUCGAACAAGUUUAAAACGAAGGAUCGUUGGCUUGGCGGUGCUCGAAAAAUCCAGAAAAAGGCAAAACUCGAGGAUUACAAAUCUUAAAGAAGGAAAUGCCAACACCCGUUAUUUCCACCUCCGCGUCAAUCACAAGAGGAGAAAAAAAACCUUAUUCAUCGCCUCAAACACAACCAGGGUUGGGUCACCUCUCACGAAGACAAAGAGCAGAUUGUGCACAACCACUUUAAGAAUAUAG